rnacentral:rRNA from 1 species
GCCAGACUCCUACGGGAGGCAGCAGUGGGGAAUAUUGCACAAUGGGGGAAACCCUGAUGCAGCGACGCCGCGUGAGCGAUGAAGUAUUUCGGUAUGUAAAGCUCUAUCAGCAGGGAAGAAAAUGACGGUACCUGACUAAGAAGCCCCGGCUAACUACGUGCCAGCAGCCGCGGUAAUACGUAGGGGGCAAGCGUUAUCCGGAUUUACUGGGUGUAAAGGGAGCGUAGACGGCGGUGCAAGCCAGAUGUGAAAGCCCGGGGCUCAACCCCCGGACUGCUCUGGAAACUGUACGGCUGGAAUGCAGGAGAGGUAAGUGGAAUUCCUAGUGUAGCGGUGAAAUGCGUAGAUAUUAGGAGGAACACCAGUGGCGAGGGCGGCUUACUGGACUGUAACUGACGUUGAGGCUCAAAAGCGUGGGGAGCAAACAGGAUUAGAUACCCUCGUAAA